rnacentral:rRNA from 1 species
UACGAAGGGGGCAAGCGUUGUUCGGAAUCACUGGGCGUAAAGCGCGCGUAGGCGGACCGAUAAGUUGGGGGUGAAAGCCCAGGGCUCAACCCUGGAAAUGCCUUCAAUACUGUCGGUCUCGAGUUCGGGAGAGGUGAGUGGAAUUCCUAGUGUAGAGGUGAAAUUCGUAGAUAUUAGGAAGAACACCAGUGGUGAAGGCGGCUCACUGGCCCGAUACUGACGAUGAGGUGCGAAAGCGUGGGGAGCAAACAGG